rnacentral:rRNA from 1 species
UACGGAGGGUGCAAGCGUUAUCCGGAUUCACUGGGUUUAAAGGGUGCGUAGGUGGGUUGAUAAGUCAGUGGUGAAAUCCCCGAGCUUAACUUGGGAACUGCCGUUGAUACUAUCUGUCUUGAAUACUAUGGAGGUAAGCGGAAUAUGUCAUGUAGCGGUGAAAUGCUUAGAUAUGACAUAGAACACCAAUUGCGAAGGCAGCUUGCUACACAGUUAUUGACGCUGAGGCACGAAAGCGUGGGGAUCAAACAGG